ensembl:lncRNA
GGAAAUUCCAUGCCCUUCCCACAUACCUUGCCCUGUGCAUCCACGUACUGAGAGGAUGACUCACCCCAACUCAGCAGCGACAGAAGCUCCUAUGCUCAGGACCUUCCCAGACUUCCCCCAAGUGUCUCUUCAUCUGGUUGUUCAUCUGUAUCCUUUAUCACAUCCUGUCAUAAACUGGUCAAGCCCCCCAGCAUGAGACUGUAUGUUUUAGUUGUGGGUCCUUCUAGUUGUGGCAUGUGGGACGCCGCCUCAGCAUGGCCUGACGAGCAGUGCCAGUUCUGCGCCCAGGAUCCGAACCAGCAAAACCCUGGGCCACUGAAGCAGAUCAUGUGAACUUAACCACUCGGCCACGGGGCCGGCCCCAAGAAAUAACUUUUGAAAAUUUAAAACAUGCUUGCCAUAAUAAAACUUGCAAUAGAUGGUUUGGAAAAUAAAGUUGGUGAAAUCUCCAGAAUGUGGAACAAAACGUCAAAAAGAAAAAUAUAUGAGAGGAGAGAGGCUACUUAAAGAAAUAAUUCAAGAAGUUCAACAUCCAAACAGUUGGCAUUCUGGAAAGAGGAAAGAGAAAAACAAAGGCAAAAGAGUUAUCAAAGAAAGAAUCAAAGAGAAUUUCCCAGGGGCAUGGGAUGGCCAUGUGGAGGCCCUACUGUAUGUCAUGUACCACGUGAUACCGGGGCUGUAAGAGACACAGUCCUGCCACAUGGUGCCGAGAGUCUUGGGAGACAGAGAGACAGAAACCAAGAAGUUGCACAAAUUAAUGUAAAAUUGCAACUAGAAUACACAUCACAAAGAAGGCUAUGGAAACUUAGGCCAGAGAAGGGUCUCUGAGACAGGGACAUCUGAGGCCAGAAGUAAUCAGGCAGGAGAGGGAGGGAGGAAUGUUUGGGGCAAGCGGAACAGCAUCUGCAAAGACAGUGUGGCCAGAGGGAGCAUGAUGAGCUUGAGGAGCUGAAAGAAGGCCUGUGAGGCUGGACUACCAAGAAGCUUCCUAGGUGUUGUGGUGGGUAAGGGGUUGGGCAGACCACACAGGGCUCUGAGGGCCCAAGAGCAGUAAGAAGCCAGGUCUUAGAAACCAAAGCAGGUCCCUAGGGAGAAAGGAAAUGCUUUCUAUUCCUUCUGGACACCAGGACCAAGAAACAAAGCACAAGUUAAACCCUCAGCAGCUACCUCUCCACUCUGGUACUUGGUGGGACAUCCAGGUCCCCUGGAAGAAGCGAAAUCCGGCCUGGCCCUGCAAACCACAAGGGGGUGCUGUGAGGCUCAAACCAGAGAAAGGCUGGCAACCUAUCCCUUAGACAAAAUCACAGGAUCAAUUUCUAGAAAUGGAAUUUCUGGUGCAAACAGAUGGAAAGUUUUUAGGGCUUUCACCCUACAGCACAGUGGAACCAAUUUACAGCCCCAGCAGCAGAAUGAAGAUUAGCCCUGAGCUAACAUCCACUGCCAAUCCUCCUCUUUUUGCUGAGGAAGACUGGCCCUGAGCUAACACCCAUGCCCAUCUUCCUCUACUUUAUAUGUGGGACACCUGCCACAGCAUGGCCUGACAAGUCCACACCUGAGAUCACAGCCGGGGAACCCCAGGCCACCGAAGUAGAGCCCUCGAACUUCAAUACGACACUGGAUCUGCCCCAAAGUUGCAUUUCUUUUGUUACUAUUAUUGUUACAAAUGGCUUCACAUGUUUACUGAUCAUUUACACUUAGUUUUAAAUCACAUGUCUGUUAUGCUCCGUGCCUAUUCCUACUGGGGUGGUGUCUUUUUCCUAUUGAUUUGUAAUGAUAUCAACACUUUUUCAGAUAUAUAUUGAAUUGUCCUAAUUUAUCCUUUGCCUAUUAAUUUUGUUUAUGAUUUUUUUGAUGCACAAAAUCUUUUUGCUGUCAUAUUUUUCAAUCUUUCCCUUAUGGUUUCUACUUUUGAUAUUAAACUUAGAAUGGCUUUCCCCACAUGGACAUUAUAUGAGUAUUUUCCUCUAUUAUCUUUUUG